GACGAACCGUGCGAACGUUGUUCGGAAUCACUGGGCUUAAAGGGCGCGUAGGCGGCCCGCCGCGUCCGGGGUGAAAUCCUCCCGCUCAACGGGAGAACGGCCUCGGAUACGGGCGGGCUGGAGGCGGGUAGGGGCAGGCGGAACUGUGGGUGGAGCGGUGAAAUGCGUUGAGAUCCACAGGAACUCCGGUGGCGAAGGCGGCCUGCUGGACCCGAUCUGACGCUGAGGCGCGAAAGCCAGGGGAGCGAACGGGGAUUAGAC
rnacentral:rRNA from 1 species